rnacentral:rRNA from 1 species
UGAACCUUUACUAUAGCUUGACACUGAACAUUGAGCCUUGAUGUGUAGGAUAGGUGGGAGGCUUUGAAGUGUGGACGCCAGUCUGCAUGGAGCCGACCUUGAAAUACCACCCUUUAAUGUUUGAUGUUCUAACGUUGACCCGUAAUCCGGGUUGCGGACAGUGUCUGGUGGGUAGUUUGACUGGGGCGGUCUCCUCCUAAAGAGUAACGGAGGAGCACGAAGGUUGGCUAAUCCUGGUCGGACAUCAGGAGGUUAGUGCAAUGGCAUAAGCCAGCUUGACUGCGAGCGUGACGGCGCGAGCAGGUGCGAAAGCAGGUCAUAGUGAUCCGGUGGUUCUGAAUGGAAGGGCCAUCGCUCAACGGAUAAAAGGUACUCCGGGGAUAACAGGCUGAUACCGCCCAAGAGUUCAUAUCGACGGCGGUGUUUGGCACCUCGAUGUCGGCUCAUCACAUCCUGGGGCUGAAGUAGGUCCCAAGGGUAUGGCUGUUCGCCAUUUAAAGUGGUACGCGAGCUGGGUUUAGAACGUCGUGAGACAGUUCGGUCCCUAUCUGCCGUGGGCGCUGGAGAACUGAGGGGGGCUGCUCCUAGUACGAGAGGACCGGAGUGGACGCAUCACUGGUGUUCGGGUUGUCAUGCCAAUGGCACUGCCCGGUAGCUAAAUGCGGAAGAGAUAAGUGCUGAAAGCAUCUAAGCACGAAACUUGCCCCGAGAUGAGUUCUCCCUGACUCCUUGAGAGUCCUGAAGGAACGUUGAAG